rnacentral:scRNA from 1 species
GAGGGAUUACACGUGGACACUAUAUCUGUAUC